CGCCUCAAAACAUGGCGCUCUUGAUCUACAUUCUGGUGCUCUUGUGGACUCCUCUAUCAAUUUCAGCAGGUGAUGAUUGUAAGGUGCACUAUAAAGAUGAUGGUGAGACGACGGUGCGGGGACGCAUCUGCUGGGGUAGUGAACACUGUUGUGGUAGCUGUGAGCACCGACACUGCUGUUCCCACUCCGAUAUAUUCACUGAAGAUGCUCAAGAGCAGUGCUACAACAGUCUGACCAAACACUCUGAACAUCGGACAGCUAUGAGAAUUGCUGGAAUAGUUUCGGGUUUCGUCAUCCUUAUCGUGCUCAUGGUGUGCUGGCGAGUCCCCUCCUGCUGGAUAUAUAAAAUGUGCCGCAUGCCCCAACGUGAGUCCAACUGCAUGAAAACCAUUAACCAUGUGGUCAUUGCUAGACUAACACACAGUUUUUUGUUAACUGGAGAUGCACCCCCUCUUUGUAAUUUUUGUUGUAGCCCUCUAUCUAUUAAGCAUAUUUUAACUUGCUCUGCACUGAAAAUGAAAAGGAAGCAGUUUUUUAAGAAAUACUGUUUUUGAUUUUUUUAAUAAGGUCCCACCUUUAAAGGUUUUAAACAUUUUAGAAUGUAUUGAUGUUAAAAAAAUGUAUUCAAUCUCUUCAUUUAUAUGGUUGUCAGUUGCAGUUGUAGUUGUAAAUGUGAUCUGAUGUUUUUUUUCUAUGUGUAUUGGCCAUGAUAUAGCCAUAGUUGCUGAAAUGGCAAUAAAUGUAAUCAAUCAAUCAACCAUUAACCAUGUGAACGAAUGAUGGGGUGUGCAAAUAGUGCCCUGACACAUUGCCAGAUACAGUAACUUGCCAGAGACAAGUUGAUGCACGCAACCUUCUGAUCAUCAAGCCAAUGUGUUAUGGUUGUAUGCAACCUGAACCUUCCUUAGGCCAUAUUUGAUACUAGAAACACUGAAGAUGGUCGCACACGACUGAAACGUGCCGGUUUGAUGACCCAUGUAAAAGAA